rnacentral:lncRNA from 1 species
AGAUCUGUCACAGGUGACCUGCAGAAGGAAGCUGCCAGGAGGCUGCUCUGCUCGCGCACCUGGCCCAGGACUCACUGGAGCUGGAAGAGCUGCAGGCCUGGCCCAUAAUCAGCAACACCGAGCAGGUGCUUCAACAUCGCCCAGCCCUUCUGAGCCUACUGGAUGUGCCUUCACUUCUGCCUUCCAGUUCACUACAGGUUUCUUUUGUGGCCAACCUUGGCCUGGAAACAUAAAGCAGAAAGAAUUCUGGGAAGCACAGUUCCAGCUUAGAUAUUGUUGCUGCAGUACAAGUUGUCAAACUCAACCUUCUCCUGCGCUAGAUCUGAGAGGAUAAGGAAAUAAUCAACAGAGUAAAGAGACCACCUACAGAGUGGGAGGAAAUAUUUGCAAACUAUGAGACUGACAAGGAGUUAAUAUCUACAAUACAUAAGGAACUCAAACAACUUAACAGCAAAAAGCAAAUACAGCCGGCCCUCCCUUUCUGAGGGUCUCACAUCUGUGGAUUCAACCAAAUGUGGAUUGAAAAUGUAGUAUUUGUGGGACUUGAACAUUGGAGGAUUUUGGCAUCUGAGGGGGGUCCUGAAAUCCUGAGGGAUGACUGUAAUAGAUUAAUAAAUGGGCAAAGAUCUGAGUAGACAUUUCCCAAAAGAAGACAUACAAAUGGCCAAUCGGUACAUGAAAAAAUGCUCAGUUUCACUAAUCAUAAGAUAAAUGCAAAUAAAAACUACAAUGAGAUAUCACCUCACCCAAAUUAGAAUGACUAUAUUAUUAAAAAGACAAAAAGUUUCAAAUGCUGGCAUGGAUGUGAAGAAAGGGAAC